AGUGAACGCUGGCGGUAGGCCUAACACAUGCAAGUCGAACGGCAGCACAGUAAGAGCUUGCUCUUACGGGUGGCGAGUGGCGGACGGGUGAGGAAUACAUCGGAAUCUACUUUUUCGGGGGGGAUAACGUAGGGAAACUUACGCUAAUACCCCAUACGACCUACGGGUGAAAGAAGGGGAUCUUCGGACCUUGCGCGAUUGAAUGAGCCGAUGUCGGAUUAGCUAGUUGGCGGGGUAAAGGCCCACCAAGGCGACGAUCCGUAGCUGGUCUGAGAGGAUGAUCAGCCACACUGGAACUGAGACACGGUCCAGACUCCUACGGGAGGCAGCAGUGGGGAAUAUUGGACAAUGGGCGCAAGCCUGAUCCAGCCAUACCGCGUGGGUGAAGAAGGCCUUCGGGUUGUAAAGCCCUUUUGUUGGGAAAGAAAAGCAGCAGGUUAAUACCCCGCUGUUCUGACGGUACCCAAAGAAUAAGCACCGGCUAACUUCGUG
rnacentral:rRNA from 1 species